UACAGAGGUCUCAAGCGUUGUUCGGAUCAUUGGGCGUAAAGGGUGCGUAGGCGGCGCGGUAAGUCGGGUGUGAAAUCUCGGGGCUUAACUCCGUAAACUGCAUUCGAUACUGCCGUGCUUGAGGACUGGAGAGGAGACUGGAAUUUACGGUGUAGCGGUGAAAUGCGUAGAUAUCGGGAGGAACACCAGUGGCGAAGGCGGCAUCCUGGCCCUGUCCUGACGCUCAGGGGCGAAAGCGU
rnacentral:rRNA from 1 species